AGUCGACACGCUAGAUACCAUACAAAAUAGACGCUUGUUAGUGAACAGAACCUAUGAACAGAACGAAUAUUAGUUUUAGAGAAAAUAGUUACAUUGUGCAUUGUGUAUAGUUUUGUAAAUGAGUGUAGGUGCGUUAUUCAGAAAUAACAAAAUUUAAAAUACAUAUUAUUAGUAGUAAUUUACAAUAAAAGUGGUAAUAUAGUUCAAGGUCAUUUGCGUCACCAGGUUUACUACCGUACGAUAAGUCAUCAGUUAAAGAAGAUAGAAACGAGAUUAAUUUAGUCGAAUUAUAUACUCGUCACUGAACGUACAGACAACAAAACAGUGAUCAGGUUGGACUCAAGGUCGAAGAAAGAAACAACUACAAGCUGGUCUUAUUUCGUAGAAAUGUGUCUUGUGCUGAAUAUUAAGUAGAACGUAAAUUGCCAUCAAUACAUCAAUUAUUCCACGAUGGGUGUGUGUUUUAUCUGUGAUGCAUUAUCCUGUCUAUGGAGAAUCGUUUGUCUAGCAGUGUUGUUAGUGAUUAUUAUUGUAAUAAUAGUAGUUGUUCUACUAGUAACAGGAAAAAUUGGUCUCACAGUUAAAGGAUCUGACGGCACUACUCUCAAGCCCUACUAAAUCAAAAAGUAUCACUAUUUUUACGAAAUAUUCUAUUUAUAUACUUACUACUUUGUGUAUAUUGUUAAUUAUAUUUGUAAUUUAGUUAUAUUGUAAAUGUAAAAAAUAUAUGUAAUAUAAAAUCGUAAUUUGUUGUCUUGUUGAUGUGAAAGGUAAUUAAAAAAUGCAUUAUCAAAGAAAUUUUUAUAUCGAUUUAUAUUAUAUUUAUAAUACAAUAUGUGUACUCUUGUAACAGACACACACACUUGCGUGACUAUAAUUGAUUGACUUGUGUCAAUAAUCCACACAAUUUCUUUUGUGACCUAAAUAUUAUGUAUAGCCACAUCAACAACUAUCACGGCCUCUAUAAAUUUCUGGUUCUUUAUAUUUUGUUUUAAUAAUGUUUCUCUCUUCUAGUCAUAAUUUCCUUACCAACAAGAUUUUAAUUAUAUUUUGUCAAUAUUAUUAAAUUAUUAUCAAUGUUUUAUUAAAAUUUUAUACAAAAAUUAAGUAAGUUUCUGUUUGUAUUUUUAUAUAUCUACCUAUUGAGCUAUCAAAGUGUUUUAUGAAAUUGGGUUAUGGUUUUGAUAGUUAAAAAAAUUUAAUGUGAUCUCCCCAUAAGAAUUGUUUUUCUCUUAUCAUCCUCAGCACGCUUAUUCAUAAAAAAUUUUGAUUAUAUUUUUUAUUAGACUAUUAUCUAUUUUUCCAUUUAUUUUAAAUAAAUAAAAUAAAAUCUGUUAUACAUAUUAAAAUGUUUUUCAAAUAAAGUAUAUGUCUUUU